rnacentral:rRNA from 1 species
GAUGAACGCUAGCGGCAGGCCUAAUACAUGCAAGUCGGACGGGAUCCGUCGGAGAGCUUGCUCGAAGACGGUGAGAGUGGCGCACGGGUGCGUAACGCGUGAGCAACCUACCUCUAUCAGGGGGAUAGCCUCUCGAAAGAGAGAUUAACACCGCAUAACAUAUCUGACCGGCAUCGGUUAGCUAUUAAAUAUUUAUAGGAUAGAGAUGGGCUCGCGUGACAUUAGCUAGUUGGUAGGGUAACGGCUUACCAAGGCGACGAUGUCUAGGGGCUCUGAGAGGAGAAUCCCCCACACUGGUACUGAGACACGGACCAGACUCCUACGGGAGGCAGCAGUAAGGAAUAUUGGUCAAUGGGCGGAAGCCUGAACCAGCCAUGCCGCGUGCAGGAUGACUGCCCUAUGGGUUGUAAACUGCUUUUGUCCAGGAAUAAACCUAGAUACGUGUAUCUAGCUGAAUGUACUGGAAGAAUAAGGAUCGGCUAACUCCGUGC